ACCUAGCUGGCUCAGUUGGUAGAGCAUGUGACUCUUGAGUUCAGGACCGUAGGUUUGAGCCUCAUGUUGGGUG
rnacentral:tRNA from 1 species